rnacentral:rRNA from 1 species
AGUGAACGCUGGCGGUAGGCCUAACACAUGCAAGUCGAACGGCAGCACAGUAAGAGCUUGCUCUUACGGGUGGCGAGUGGCGGACGGGUGAGGAAUACAUCGGAAUCUACUUUUUCGUGGGGGAUAACGUAGGGAAACUUACGCUAAUACCGCAUACGACCUACGGGUGAAAGCAGGGGAUCUUCGGACCUUGUGCGAUUGAAUGAGCCGAUGUCGGAUUAGCUAGUUGGCGGGGUAAAGGCCCACCAAGGCGACGAUCCGUAGCUGGUCUGAGAGGAUGAUCAGCCACACUGGAACUGAGACACGGUCCCUACUCCUACGGGAGGCAGCAGUGGGGAAUAUUGGACGAUGGGCGCAAGCCUGAUCCAGCCAUACCGCGUGGAUGAAGAAAGCCUUCGGGUUGUAAAGCCCUUUUGUUGGGAAAGAAAAGCAGCAGGUUAAUACCCCGCUGUUCUGACGGUACCCAAAGGAUAAGCACCGGCUAACUUCGUG